GUUUGCUGGAGGGUUUAUCUGUUCGCUACAUUCGUGGCACUACAAAGGGGAGAGGGCGUCCUGCUAAAGGACUUCGCGGAGAGAUUAGAGGCUCAGGAAUAUUGUGCUUCUGUGAUAACUGUCAUGGGACAUCUGUUGUUACACCAAAUCAAUUUGAGCUGCAUGCCAAUAGUGCCAACAAACGUCCACCAGAAUACAUCUAUUUGGAGAAUGGAAAAAGUCUGAGGGAUGUAUUGAGUAUGUGUAAAGAUGCUUCUUCUGAUGAAGUAGAGAUGGUAAUAAAAAAUGCCAUCGGGAGUGCAGACGCUAAAAUAGAUGCUUCAGCAUGUAUGUCUGCACAGGAGUUCCAAUCUCCCCCUGUUCCAAGUGGUGAAGCUAGUAGCAGGUCUACAUCAUCUGCGCCUGCUACAAAGUUGACCGAUCGAAUGCCCUCUGGCAGUGGAACUCAAAGUAAAGCUCACGGAAAGUUAACUAGAAAGGAUCUGCGCAUGCACAAACUUGUGUUCGAGGAGGAUGCACUUCCUGAUGGAACUGCAUUAGCAUAUUAUGUCCGUGGACAGAAAUUGUUGGAGGGUUAUAAGAAAGGUCAUGGAAUUUUCUGCUACUGUUGCAAUACUGAGGUUAGCCCUUCACAGUUUGAGGCUCAUGCAGGUUGCGCUUCACGUCGGAAGCCUUAUUUGUACAUAUAUACUUCCAACGGGGUGUCUCUGCAUGAGUUGUCUAUUAAACUUUCAAAAGAACGAAGGUCCUCAGCUGAGGAAAAUGAUGAUCUCUGCUCUAUAUGUGCUGAUGGAGGGGACCUCCUGUGCUGUGACAAUUGUCCAAGAGCUUUCCAUACCGAGUGUGUUUGUUUGCCAAGUAUUCCCACCGGUACCUGGUAUUGUAAAUACUGUGAAAACAUGUUUGCAAAAGAAAGAUUCGUUGAGAACAAUGCCAAUGCUAAAGCUGCUGGGAGGGUUGCUGGAGUUGAUGCCAUCGAGCAGAUAACAAGACGAUGCAUUCGCAUGGUGGAAACUUUAGAGACUGAAGUUAGUGUUUGUGUGCUCUGCAGGGAUCAGGAUUUCAGCAAAUCAGGAUUUGGCCCGCGGACAGUUAUAAUUUGUGAUCAGUGUGAGAAGGAGUAUCAUGUUGGAUGUUUGAAGGAGCACAACAUAGAUGACUUACAGGAAUUGCCAAAAGACAAAUGGUUUUGCUGCACAGAUUGCAGUAGAAUUCAUUUUGCUCUGGAAAAGGUGGUAUCAGAUGGAGAACAGAACAUUCCUGAGUCUCUUUUGGAAGUCUUGAAGGCAAAGAAUGAAGGAAAAGGUUCAGUGAAUAACUCCAGGCUUGACAUUAAAUGGCGUCUGCUAAGUGGAAAAAUGUCAUCAGAAGAGACAAGGGUCUGGCUUUCUAGUGCUGUUUCAAUUUUCCAUGAACAAUUUGACCCAAUUGCUGAUGCAAGUACUAGCCGUCUAGAUUUGAUCCCACACAUGGUCUAUGGAAGGAGUUUCAAGGACCAAGACUAUGGAGGGAUGUUCUGCGCAAUAUUAUUGGUCAAUUCAUUGGUUGUUUCUGCUGGCAUUUUCCGUGUUUUUGGGAAGGAAGUGGCUGAACUCCCUUUAGUUGCU
rnacentral:misc_RNA from 1 species